CACGUGGGUAACCUGCCCAAGAGAUCGGGAUAACACCUGGAAACAGAUGCUAAUACCGGAUAACAACAGAUGAUGCCUAUCAACUGUUUAAAAGAUGGUUCUGCUAUCACUAUUGGAUGGACCUGCGGUGAAUUAGCUAGUUGGUAGGGUAACGGCCUACCAAGGCGAUGAUGCAUAGCCGAGUUGAGAGACUGAUAGGCCACAUUGGGACUGAGACACGGCCCAAACUCCUACGGGAGGCAGCAGAA
rnacentral:rRNA from 1 species